GGAAGUAAAAGUCGUAACAGGGUCUCCGUUGGUGAACCAGCGGAGGGAUCAUUACCGAGUUUACAACUCCCAAACCCAAUGUGAACCAUACCAAACUGUUGCCUCGGCGGGGUCACGCCCCGGGUGCGUCGCAGCCCCGGAACCAGGCGCCCGCCGGAGGGACCAACCAAACUCUUUCUGUAGUCCCCUCGCGGACGUUAUUUUUACAGCUCUGAGCAAAAAUUCAAAAUGAAUCAAAACUUUCAACAACGGAUCUCUUGGUUCUG
rnacentral:misc_RNA from 1 species